rnacentral:rRNA from 1 species
GAUGAACGCUAGCGGCAGGCUUAACACAUGCAAGUCGAGGGGUAACAGGAUUUAGUUUACUAGAUUGCUGACGACCGGCGCACGGGUGAGUAACGCGUAUACAAUUUGCCUUUUACUGAAGAAUAGCCCAGAGAAAUUUGGAUUAAUGCUUCAUGGUAUUAUUUGGUCACCUGACCGAGUAAUUAAAGUUCCGGCGGUAAAAGAUGAGUAUGCGUCCUAUUAGCUAGAUGGUAAGGUAACGGCUUACCAUGGCGACGAUAGGUAGGGGUCCUGAGAGGGAGAUCCCCCACACUGGUACUGAGACACGGACCAGACUCCUACGGGAGGCAGCAGUGAGGAAUAUUGGGCAAUGGAGGCAACUCUGACCCAGCCAUGCCGCGUGCAGGGAGACUGCCCUAUGGGUUGUAAACUGCUUUUAUACAGGAAGAAACUUAUCCACGUGUGGGUAACUGACGGUACUGUAAGAAUAAGGACCGGCUAACUCCGUGCCAGCAGCCGCGGUAAUACGGAGGGUCCAAGCGUUAUCCGGAAUCAUUGGGUUUAAAGGGUCCGUAGGCGGGCAAUUAAGUCAGAGGUGAAAUCCCACAGCUCAACUGUGGAACUGCCUUUGAUACUGGGUUGUCUUGAGUUAUAGUGAAGUAGAUAGAAUAUGUAGUGUAGCGGUGAAAUUGCAUAGAUAUUACAUAGAAUACCGAUUGCGAAGGCAGUCUACUAACUGUACACUGACGCUAAUGGACGAAAGCGUGGGGAGCGAACAGG